AAGAAGAAAACUUGAGAGAAAAUUUAGAGUUUGCUUCCUUGUUUCAGCCCAUGGACACUAGAGUGUCUUGCCUCCAUUUCCAGCUGAGAGGAACCUUGUGUAUUAACUCCAUUUCCAGCCGAGAGAAACUGGAGGGAAAGCUGAGAGGAAACCUUGUCUAACUCCAUUUCCAGCUGAGGAGAAAUCAGGAAGGUGAGCUAACUUCCAGCUUGAUUUGUAGCAGCAAAAAUAAGAAGCCGAGGGAGAUUCGGCGGAGGGUCCAAGUACCGAGGUGUGAACUCAAAAUACUUUAGGUGAGUGUUUCCGGAUUUGUGUGUCUAAACUGCUUUUGUUUUACUUAAGUGAUGUUAUGUGAUAAAUGUGCUUAUUAUGGAAUAUUGCUAGCGAUGCAUUAUAAAGUGUAUUUCAAUUGUCCCUUACUUUCUAAGUCGGGGGUAUAUUUUAUUGUAUUAGACUUAGUUGAGUUUGAAGGUUGAUAAUUGAUCAAGUGUUACUGUAAGUGUGCAUGAAUGCAAGCCGUAUGUGUACUUUAUCACACUGGUUGAACUGGGCCCCAAAACCCUCUGUUCAACAAACUAUUCGAGCCAGCAAAGGAUUUGGUCAAGUAGAAUGAUAGUUUUGGGUAAGUGCUUCGGUAUACUCGAGUAUUACCUUGAAGUUUGGAGAUUAUUGAACUGAUUAAUGAAUGUAGGGGAUUGUUUAUUAUUUUGGAGGAUAUAAGGGGGUGAUUUUGGCAGAGUGUGUAGUGAUAUUGAAAUGACUCCCAGAAGGAACUUGUAUCCUUUUAUAUUGAAUGAGUUAUUCUAUUGUGAAAUGUAUAGUGUUAUAUAAGUGGCUCCUAAUGAGCACCGUAUCCUUUUGAAAGUAAUUAUAUAGUGAAGUGUUCUUUACUUGUUUAAUUUUUACUGGUAUAAGUGUUUAUUGAAUGUUGCUUAUUUGGAAAACCUCACUGGGCGUAAGCUCAUCUCCUUAGCUUUGUUUUCCUUACAGGAGUUGAGGUUGGAAGAAGUGUCGAGUAGAGAUAGACGGUUUUGGAUGGUCAAAUUUGUAUAUCGCUAUUUAAAACUUGUAAUUUGUUUCUUUUAAUGGACGAAUUUACAUUCUAGUCUAGUUGGCUAUGUACUUAAGAUUGAAUGUGUGGUUGUUUAAUGGAAAUGUUAUCUCUGAAG